GUUACAUGUUAUUCCUGAUGUUCUCUUUGAUAGGUCAUUCCAACUUGGAAUAUCUCACCAAUUAAGAAGGCCAAUGAAAUUAAGCAGCCUCCACAGUUUGUGGAUAUUCACCUUGAAGAAGAUGAUUCCUCAGACGAGGAGUACCAGCCAGAUGAAGAGGAGGAGGAUGAGACAGCUGAAGAGAGCUUAUUGGAAAGUGAUGUUGAAAGCACUGCCUCGUCUCCACGUGGAGUGAAGAGAUCCAGACUGCGAGCGUCUUCUGAAGUGGCUGAGACAGACGAGGAGAGUGGCAUGUUGUCAGAGGUUGAGAAAGUCACCACACCUGCUGUGAGGCACAUCAGUGCUGAAGUAGUGCCCAUGGGGCCCCCACCGCCUCCUAAACCGAAGCAGACCCGGGAUAGUGCUUUCAUGGAGAAGUUAAAUGCAGUAGAUGAGGAGCUGGCUUCUAGUCCUGUCUGCAUGGAUUCUUUCCAGGUGAGCAUCGGGACUCUGA